rnacentral:rRNA from 1 species
ACGUAGGGGGCGAGCGUUGUCCGGAAUUACUGGGCGUAAAGAGCACGUAGGCGGGAACUUAAGUCAGGUAUGAAAGAACGGGGCUCAACCUCGGGUAUGCACUUGAAACUGGGUUUCUUGAGGGCAGGAGAGGAAAGCAGAAUUCCUGGUGUAGCGGUGAAAUGCGUAGAAAUCAGGAGGAAUACUAGUGUCGAGGUCCGGUGUCCAGCCUGACCUUGACGCUGAGGUGUGUGAGCGUGGGUCGCAAGCAG